UUGUGGAAUUAACAAGAUAAGUACCACAGCGAUAAGUCGUCUGCACCGUCUGCACCACAGAAAUUAACAACAUGCGACUGACAACAAUGAACGUUUGUUGCAGAUUUCUUGUAUGAAUUCCGACAUUAGAUAGUGCAGUUUUAAACUUACUUUAUUUUUUUAAACACCACAUUGCUAAAUGAUCGGAUUACAUACUCGCAACGACAGCUCUAAUUCUGAACUUCCAAAGUAUUUGCUAUCAUUCUAGACUAUGAAUGUAAAACUUAUGCCCCGGAUCGAAGGAAUCUACUGUGCCCUUAUUUAAACGAAUUUCGGAGCCUAAAUGAUUAUGUCAAAACAAACUGCACUCGCACAAAUUAUUGUGCUGAAGUGUCUUACGAUCCCGAUGGCGGCACAAAAAGGUUUGUGGGAAAGAACUGUCUUGGCGAUGAUGGUUUAGCGGGAAGUCAACAGGACAAGCCUAAGCCCCGGGUGCACGAUAGAUGAAGGUGGCGGUGUUCGACAUGUUACAUGCUUGUGCAACACUGAUUUAUGCAACAAUCGAACGCUCGCGGAACUACUUGUAGCACGGUCCGCUAAUAACGCAAUCUAUCCAUUUUUGCCAGUUUUAACUGUUACAGCUUUUUUAGCAAAGCGUCUGAGACACCGGGAUUAUGAUACCGGUGUAGAAUUACCCGAAAUCUUGCGCAGAGAAUUGCAAAUCUGCCACGUGUACUUUCGGUUAAUGUAGGUAAUUAUUAUUAUUAUUGGUAAUUAGUUUUGGUGAAUGUUCUAAAAUUAGCAAGUGUAGUCAAGGCAUAAAGCCGGUUGACCGCUUGCAUCAACCCAACGUUUAUUUUUCCUGGUGUAAUUGCCGGUUGCCUAGCAGUUGAGCGAAGCUAGUACGCGGAGGUUGACGAGCGGCUGCUUUUCUACAUACAAGAGACUGCCAAACGAACUGCUAGAAAAAGCUAAACAGCU